ACUCCUACGGGAGGCAGCAGUAGGGAAUCUUCCAUAAUGGGCGCAAGCCUGAUGGAGCAACACCGCGUGAGUGAAGAAGGGUUUCGGCUCGUAAAGCUCUGUUGUUAAAGAAGAACACGUAUGAGAGUAACUGUUCAUACGUUGACGGUAUUUAACCAGAAAGUCACGGCUAACUACGUGCCAGCAGCCGCGGUAAUACGUAGGUGGCAAGCGUUAUCCGGAUUUAUUGGGCGUAAAGAGAGUGCAGGCGGUUUUCUAAGUCUGAUGUGAAAGCCUUCGGCUUAACCGGAGAAGUGCAUCGGAAACUGGAUAACUUGAGUGCAGAAGAGGGUAGUGGAACUCCAUGUGUAGCGGUGGAAUGCGUAGAUAUAUGGAAGAACACCAGUGGCGAAGGCGGCUACCUGGUCUGCAACUGACGCUGAGACUCGAAAGCAUGGGUAGCGAACAGGAUUAGAUACCCUGGUAGGAUAGCG
rnacentral:rRNA from 1 species